rnacentral:misc_RNA from 1 species
UGGUUCUGGCAUCGAUGAAGAACGCAGCGAAAUGCGAUAAGUAAUGUGAAUUGCAGAAUUCAGUGAACCAUCGAAUCUUUGAACGCACAUUGCGCCCGCCAGCACUCUGGCGGGCAUGCCUGUUCGAGCGUCAUUUCAACCCUCGAGCCCCCCCGGGGGCCCGGCGUUGGGGGCCGGCCCUGGCCGCCCCCGAAAUGCAGUGGCGACCUCGCCGCAGCCUCCCCUGCGUAGUAGCACACACCUCGCACCGGAGCGCGGAGACGGUCACGCCGUGAAACGCACCAGCUUUCUAGAGCCGACCUCGGAUCAGGUAGGAAUACCCGCUGA